UACGUAGGCAGCAAGCGUUGUUCGGAGUUACUGGGCGUAAAGGGUGCGUAGGCGGCCCUGUAAGUGUGGUGUGAAAUCUCCCGGCUUAACUGGGAGGGUGCGCUACAGACUGCAGGGCUAGAGUGUGGGAGAGGAAAGUGGAAUUCCUGGUGUAGCGGUGAAAUGCGUAGAUAUCGGGAGGAUCACCAGUGGCGAAGGCGAUCACCUGGGGUUGUUCUGACGCUGAGGAGCGAAAGCUAAGGGAGCAAACGGG
rnacentral:rRNA from 1 species